AAUUAUUAUUAGAUUUUUAAAUAAUUAUUCACGAAAUAAAUUGAGCUAAAUUUUUGGUAUUUUUGGAAAUUAUAACUAUAUGUUACAAAAUAUAUUAACUAAAUAGAUUUAGGGGUGAAAGGCCUAUCAAAUUUUAUGAUAUCUUGAAGUAUAUAAAAUAUAUCAAGUAUUUCUAAUUCAACUAUUGAAUGUUUAGGUUCAAUAGUAACAUUAUAUUUUUUAAAAAAUUGUUCAAUUUUUUUAAGUAAAAUUGAGUUAGAGCAUAAAAUAUACAUCAAAUUUUUAUUAUAUGAAUAUAAAUAUACUACGGUUAUUAAUAAAUAUAAUCAUAUAUAAUGUAAUUAUUAGUAAUAGUUUAUUAAACUAUAUAAAGGAAUUCGGCAAGAAAAUUUUUCACCUGUUUAUCAAAAACAUAGCUUAUUGAAUAUCAUAAUAAGUAACCCCUGCUCAAUGGAAAUCUAAAUAGCCGCAGUACCUUGACUGUGCAAAGGUAGCAUAAUCAAUUGGCUUAUAAUUGAAGUCUGGAAUGAAUGGGUAAUCUGGAAAAUAACUGUCUUUAUUUUGUAGUAUUUUGAAUUUACUUAUAAAGUGAAAAUACUUUAAUAUAAAUAUAAGACGAGAAGACCCUAGAAAUUUUUUGUUAAUAACUUUUGUUGGGGCGACAGGGUAACAUAUAAACUUACUUACAUUUAUAUAAAUCUUAUAAGGUACGUAACUAAAUUACUCUAGGGAUAACAGCAUAAUAUAUAAAAGUUUAUGACCUCGAUGUUGGACUAGGUAAUUAAAUAUUUAAAAGAUAUCUUUAAUUUGCUCUGUUCGAGCAGUAUCACCUACAU
rnacentral:rRNA from 1 species